rnacentral:lncRNA from 1 species
UGAGAAACUUGUUUGCGUCAAUCAGUAUCAUCAAUCUAUUCGCUUCGAGUUAAUCGUUUUUGUAGUUUCGUACGACUUUGCUUAGUUCCAUCUACAUACAUCAGUGUAGCUAGUUCGAUAGUGGAAAAUAUAUUGUUAAUGGCUACAAUUUACUGAUACUUUAUAGUGAGAGCAAUUUGUUUACAAUCAAUACGAGAUAACAAUCGAAUUAAUCGAUUCUAAUGAAAUACAACACUAUUGUCGCGGAGCCAUAAAAUGCCGCUGAACAUUCAGAGAUGACAUAAAAUGUUUAUUAUAAUUUUGAUGUAGUAUAGAACAAAUUAGUGGCACAGAUAAUCAAGGUGAAGAAGUUAUUUAAACAGUGAUGUUUUGUGAUAAACUGUAUUCGUGUUUGUGUGUUUGUCGCGCCAACAUGAAGUUCUGGACCGUUAUAUUAUUGUUUAUGUUCGUCAUUUGUUUGCAACAGACUACUGCGGAGUGCCCGCCGGGACAAUACGACCCUGGUCCCGAUUGUUCCUUCGAAGUCAUCUGCGGUCUACCCAGCGCCCAUUCAGCGAGAAGACAUUACUGUGAUUGCUGGUGCAACCCUGGCACCAUACGAGACUCCAUAACCCACGAAUGUGUUAAAGAGUGCCCUUGAUUUUUUGAAAUUAGUGUAAUUUUAACUUUAAUGUUAUUGUUUAAGUUAUUUAAAGCUAUGAAGUAAG